GACAGAGGGUGCAAACGUUGUUCGGAAUUACUGGGCGUAAAGCGUGUGUAGGCGGUCGGCUAAGUCGGGUGUGAAAGCCCUGGGCUCAACCCAGGAAGUGCACUCGAAACUGGUCGGCUAGAGUAUCGGAGAGGCUGGUGGAAUUCUCGGUGUAGAGGUGAAAUGCGCAGAUAUCAGGAGGAACACCAAUGGCGAAGGCAGCUCGCUGGGACGUGACUGACGCUGAGACGCGAAAGCGUGGGGAGCAAACAGG
rnacentral:rRNA from 1 species